GACGAACGCUGGCGGCGUGCUUAACACAUGCAAGUCGAACGGUGAAGCGAGUGCUUGCUCUCGUGGAUCAGUGGCGAACGGGUGAGUAACACGUGAGUAACCUGCCCAUCACUCUGGGAUAAGCACUGGAAACGGUGUCUAAUACUGGAUACGACCAACCCUUGCAUGGUGUGCUGGUGGAAAGAUUUUUCGGUGAUGGAUGGCCUCGCGGCGUAUCAGCUUGUUGGCGGGGUAAUGGCCCACCAAGGCGCCGACGGGUAGCCGGCCUGAGAGGGUGACCGGCCACACUGGGACUGAGACACGGCCCAGACUCCUACGGGAGGCAGCAGUGGGGAAUAUUGCACAAUGGGCGAAAGCCUGAUGCAGCGACGCCGCGUGAGGGAUGACGGCCUUCGGGUUGUAAACCUCUUUCAGCAGGGAAGGAGCGAAAGUGACGGUACCUGCAGAAGAAGCACCGGCUAACUACGUG
rnacentral:rRNA from 1 species